rnacentral:rRNA from 1 species
AUUGAACGCUGGCGGCAUGCUUUACACAUGCAAGUCGAACGGCAGCACGGACUUCGGUCUGGUGGCGAGUGGCGAACGGGUGAGUAAUACAUCGGAACGUACCCAGUAAUGGGGGAUAACUAUCCGAAAGGAUAGCUAAUACCGCAUACGCCUUACGGGGGAAAGAGGGGGAUCGCAAGACCUCUUGUUAUUGGAGCGGCCGAUGGCUGAUUAGCUAGUUGGUGAGGUAAAGGCUCACCAAGGCGACGAUCAGUAGCGGGUCUUAGAGGACGAUCCGCCAGACUGGAACUGAGACACGGUCCAGACUCCUACGGGAGGCAGCAGUGGGGAAUCUUGGACAAUGGGCGCAAGCCUGAUCCAGCAAUGCCGCGUGCGUGAAGAAGGCCUUCGGGUUGUAAAGCGCUUUCGUCAGGGAGCAAAUCCUUGUGGCUAAUACCCACCGGGGAUGAGAGUACCUGAAGAAUAAGGACCGGCUAACUACGUGCCAGCCGCCGCGGUAAUAC